AUUGAACGCUGGCGGCAUGCUUUACACAUGCAAGUCGAACGGUAACAGGCCGCAAGGUGCUGACGAGUGGCGAACGGGUGAGUAAUGCAUCGGAACGUGCCCAGUCGUGGGGGAUAACGCAGCGAAAGCUGCGCUAAUACCGCAUACGAUCUAUGGAUGAAAGCGGGGGACCGAAAGGCCUCGCGCGAUUGGAGCGGCCGAUGUCAGAUUAGGUAGUUGGUGGGGUAAAGGCCCACCAAGCCAACGAUCUGUAGCUGGUCUGAGAGGACGGCCAGCCACACUGGGACUGAGACACGGCCCAGACUCCUACGGGAGGCAGCAGUGGGGAAUUUUGGACAAUGGGCGCAAGCCUGAUCCAGCAAUGCCGCGUGCAGGAAGAAGGCCUUCGGGUUGUAAACUGCUUUUGUACGGAACGAAACGGUCCGGGUUAAUACCCUGGGCUAAUGACGGUACCGUAAGAAUAAGCACCGGCUAACUACGUGCCAGCCGCCGCGGUAAAAC
rnacentral:rRNA from 1 species